UGCGUAGGUGGCCAGGUAAGUUUGGUGUGAAAGCUCGGAGCUUAACUCCGAAAAGUCAUUGAAUACUAUCUGGCUGGAGGGUCGGAGGGGAGACUGGAAUUCUCGGUGUAGCAGUGAAAUGCGUAGAUAUCGAGAGGAACACCAGUGGCGAAGGCGAGUCUCUGGACGACACCUGACACUGAGGCACGAAAGCGGGGGAGCAAACG
rnacentral:rRNA from 1 species